rnacentral:rRNA from 1 species
AUUGGUAUCUACUUUAGUAUUCAAUAUUAACUUCUGGCGAAGUUAAACUGUCACAAAACAAAGACCCGUUUGGGUUGUAUGGUUAAGUGACUAAGCGUACACGGUGGAUGCCUUGGCAGUUGGAGGCGAUGAAGGACGUAUUAACUUGCGAUAAGCCUAGUCAAGCUAGUAAAAAGCACUUGAGACUAGGAUUUCCGAAUGGGGAAACCCACCUGCUUGCAGGUAUCGUUAACUGAAUACAUAGGUUAACGAGGCGAACGCGGAGAACUGAAACAUCUAAGUACCCGUAGGAAAAGAAAUCAACCGAGAUUCCGAUAGUAGCGGCGAGCGAAAUCGGAACAGCCCUUAAGCUUAUUAUGUGUUAAUGGAAGGCUCUGGAAAGUGCCACGAUACAGGGUGAUAGUCCCGUACAUGAAAACGCAUUUUAAGUGAAAUCGAGUAGGUCGGAGCACGUGAAACUUUGACUGAAUAUAGGUGGACCAUCAUCUAAGGCUAAAUACUCCCAACUGACCGAUAGUGAACCAGUACCGUGAGGGAAAGGCGAAAAGAACCCCUGUGAGGGGAGUGAAAUAGAACCUGAAACCGUGUACGUACAAGCAGUAGGAGCCCACUUGUUGGGUGACUGCGUACCUUUUGUAUAAUGGGUCAGCGACUUAUAUUUUGUAGCGAGGUUAACCGAUUAGGGUAGCCGUAGGGAAACCGAGUCUUAACUGGGCGAAUAGUUGCAAGGUAUAGACCCGAAACCCGGUGAUCUAGCCAUGGGCAGGUUGAAGGUUGAGUAACAUCAACUGGAGGACCGAACCCACUAACGUUGAAAAGUUAGGGGAUGACCUGUGGUUAGGAGUGAAAGGCUAAUCAAACCGGGAGAUAGCUGGUUCUCCCCGAAAUCUAUUUAGGUAGAGCCUCGGACGAAUACUUACGGGGGUAGAGCACUGUUAAGGCUAGGGGGUCAUCCCGACUUACCAACCCUUUGCAAACUCCGAAUACCGUAAAGUAAUAUCCGGGAGACACACGGCGGGUGCUAACGUCCGUCGUGAAGAGGGAAACAACCCAGACCGCCAGCUAAGGUCCCAAAGUCAUAGUUAAGUGGGAAACGAUGUGGAAAGGCCCAGACAGCCAGGAGGUUGGCUUAGAAGCAGCCAUCCUUUAAAGAAAGCGUAAUAGCUCACUGGUCGAGUCGGUCUGCGCGGAAGAUGUAACGGGGCUAAACUAUGCACCGAAGCUGCGGAUUCAAAAUUUAUUUUGAGUGGUAGGGGAGCGUUCUGUAAGCGGUUGAAGGUGUACCGGGAGGUAUGCUGGACGUAUCAGAAGUGCGAAUGCUGACAUGAGUAACGAUAAUGCGGGUGAAAAACCCGCACGCCGGAAGACCAAGGGUUCCUAUCCCAUGUUAAUCAGGGUAGGGUAAGUCGACCCCUAAGGCGAGGCCGAAAGGCGUAGUCGAUGGGAAACGGAUUAAUAUUUCCGUACUUGGUAUAAUUGCGAUGGGGGGACGGAGCAGGCUAAGCAAGCAUGGCGAUGGUAGUCCAUGUGAAAGUGUGUAGGCUAG